AAACCACACUCACACACCCUUAAUAUGUUCAUGCCAUGCCCUGAGUAUGUUGAUGGCUUGAUCCUACUAUUAAAACAGUGAUUGGACUUUGGACUUUUGUGCAUUCUUACCGAUGUCCUGUGAUGAUCCCAACUAAGUCGGAACCAGGCAAUACAGUCCAUAAACCUAAUUAACAUUGGUCCUUCGAGCCGGAUCGGUGAUUGCCACAGGUUAAGAUGUCCAAAGCCCAUUCAGAGUCACAGUGUGAGCCUGAAGUCCGUAGUAGAUGACCAUCACGGCCCCCACGCCACUUGGAAGAUUAUGAGGUGGAUUACAGCGGCUUCCAGCAUACAUAUCCACCUACUUCCAGGAUGCAAACAGAGCCUUACCGCUGGGAGUCAGGGAAUGAGGGUGCUGUCGGGAUGACACCCUUCACCAGGUGGCAUGCUACUCACCGCGGUGAUGUUACUGAGGAUACUGGAGAUCAGUAUGUACCACAAGAUGCUCAAACAGUGAUUUGGCAGCUACGAGAAGAGAACAGACGCCUGCAUAAAACCAUUGAGGACAUGAAACACAGCUCAGAAAGGGAGGAAACCGACUCAUCACAGUGUCCUGUGCCUUUUCCUCGCACUCACUCAUCGACAAAGGCAGCAAAGAAACCUUCUCCUGUCCCAACUCCACGUCUAAGCAAGUUAGCAGUAGCUCAAAUGAGUGAUCAGAUUUCUAAAGAGACUGGAAAACCAGUUAUGGAUAAAGGAAAGGAACAGUCGGAAGAUGAGGAGCUAGACUGUGAAAUUAAUUUGUCAGGUGAACUUUCAGAAAUGAAACUGCAGCCCACAUCAAAGAACAGAAACCACACUCACACACCCUUAAUAUGUUCAUGCCAUGCCCUGAGUAUGUUGAUGGCUUGAUCCUACUAUUAAAACAGUGAUUGGACUUUGGACUUUUGUGCAUUCUUACCGAUGUCCUGUGAUGAUCCCAAAUAAGUCGGAACCAGGCAAUACAGUCCAUAAACCUAAUUAACAGGUAGUUAUAAGGAGCAACUUCAUACCUAACUGAAGCUUAAGGUUGUCCACCAUUUUUUCUCAUCUUUAAAAUUUGAAGUCUCUUCAGCUUCUGUGCGCUCAUGGAAUAGC
ensembl:lncRNA